CCUACGGGAGGCAGCAGUGGGGAAUAUUGCACAAUGGGGGCAACCCUGAUGCAGCGACGCCGCGUGAGCGAUGAAGUAUUUCGGUAUGUAAAGCUCUAUCAGCAGGGAAGAAGAUGACGGUACCUAACUAAGAAGCCCCGGCUAACUACGUGCCAGCAGCCGCGGUCAUACGUAGGGGGCAAGCGUUCUCCGGCUUUACUGGGUGGAAAGGGAGCGUAGACGGCGAUGCAAGCCGGAUGUGAAAGCCCGGGGCUCAACCCCGGGAUUGCAUUUGGAACUGUGUGGCUGGAGUGUCGGAGAGGCAGGCGGAAUUCCUAGUGUAGCGGUGAAAUGCGUAGAUAUUAGGAGGAACACCAGUGGCGAAGGCGGCCUGCUGGACGAUGACUGACGUUGAGGCUCGAAAGCGUGGGGAGCAAACAGGAUUAGAUACCCGUGUAGUC
rnacentral:rRNA from 1 species